rnacentral:tRNA from 1 species
UUGAGGGUGGCUCAGCGGUAAAGAAUCUGCCUGCCAAGCAGAAGAUGCAGGUUUAAUCCCUGGCUUGGAAA